rnacentral:rRNA from 1 species
AGGGAAUAUUGGUCAAUGGACGCAAGUCUGAACCAGCCAUGCCGCGUGAGGGAAGACGGCCUUCUGGGUUGUAAACCUCUUUUAUCAGAGAACAAAAAGUCCCUGCGGGGAAAAUUGAGUGUAUCUGAAGAAU